rnacentral:lncRNA from 1 species
UUGCAUAUAUGUUAGUCUUUUGAGUAAUUUUUCUUCCACCUUUCUUUUGACUACCAUCACCAUCAAGCUCACGAGUAAUCUCUUCAUGCAAGAAAAUUAACAGUCAUACAAUAAUUCUAGCAAGUGACAUUAGGUUAGAAUAUGAACAAUUAUAGCAAGUGACAUUAGGCUACCUUUGGAAGGCUGAUGCUCAGGAUCAACAUGAUCUUGAUCUUUUGAUACCCUAGACCUCAAAACACGUCCUUCAUUCGCGCUUACAGGUGCGCUGGAGGGUGCCUGCAUAGAUAUAUAGGUUAGUGUUGCAAGCUACAUUUGCUUCCUUCAGGUAGAACAUGAAUGUGAUGGAAGCUACAUACCUUUCUUUUCUUUUGGGGGGCUUGGUUCGCUUCCAUAUCUUCCUGCAUAGAAGCUCUUGUUGCUCG